rnacentral:rRNA from 1 species
GAUGAACGCUGGCGGCGUGCCUAAUACAUGCAAGUAGAACGCUGAAGGAGGAGCUUGCUCUUUCCGGAUGAGUUGCGAACGGGUGAGUAACGCGUAGGUAACCUGCCUGGUAGCGGGGGAUAACUAUUGGAAACGAUAGCUAAUACCGCAUAACAGUAGAUAUUGCAUGAUAUUUGCUUGAAAGGGGCAAUUGCUCCACUACCAGAUGGACCUGCGUUGUAUUAGCUAGUUGGUGAGGUAACGGCUCACCAAGGCGAAGAUACAUAGCCGACCUGAGAGGGUGAUCGGCCACACUGGGACUGGGACACGGCCCAGACUCCUACGGGAGGCAGCAGUAGGGAAUCUUCGGAAAUGGACGGAAGUCUGACCGAGCAACGCCGCGUGAGUGAAGAAGGUUUUCGGAUCGUAAAGCUCUGUUGUAAGAGAAGAACGAGUGUGAGAGUGGAAAGUUCACACUGUGACGGUAUCUUACCAGAAAGGGACGGCUAACUACGUG